GAGUUUGAUCUUGCUCAGAACGAACGCUGGCGGCAUGCCUAACACAUGCAAGUCGAACGGGAUCCGGACUUCGGUUCGGUGAGAGUGGCGGACGGGUGAGUAACGCGUGGGAACCUGCCCAGUGGUGGGGGAUAACUGCGGGAAACUGCAGCUAAUACCGCAUGAGCCCGAGAGGGGAAAGAUUUAUCGCCAUUGGAGGGGCCCGCGUUCGAUCAGGUAGUUGGUGGGGUAAAGGCCUACCAAGCCGACGAUCGAUAGCUGGUCUGAGAGGAUGAUCAGCCACACUGGGACUGAGAUACGGCCCAGACUCCUACGGGAGGCAGCAGUGGGGAAUAUUGGACAAUGGGGGCAACCCUGAUCCAGCAAUGCCGCGUGAGUGAUGAAGGCCUUCGGUUGU
rnacentral:rRNA from 1 species